rnacentral:rRNA from 1 species
CCUACGGGUGGCAGCAGUGAGGAAUAUUGGUCAAUGGACGAGAGUCUGAACCAGCCAAGUAGCGUGAAGGAUGACUGCCCUAUGGGUUGUAAACUUCUUUUAUAUGGGAAUAAAAUGUUCCACGUGUGGGAUUUUGUAUGUACCAUAUGAAUAAGGAUCGGCUAACUACGUGCCAGCAGCCGCGGUAAUACGGAGGAUCCGAGCGUUAUCCGGAUUUAUUGGGUUUAAAGGGAGCGUAGGUGGAUUGUUAAGUCAGUUGUGAAAGUUUGCGGCUCAACCGUAAAAUUGCAGUUGAAACUGGCAGUCUUGAGUACAGUAGAGGUGGGCGGAAUUCGUGGUGUAGCGGUGAAAUGCUUAGAUAUCACGAAGAACUCCGAUUGCGAAGGCAGUUCACUGGACUGCAACUGACACUGAGGCUCGAAAGUGUGGGUAUCAAACAGGAUUAGAUACCCUAGUAGUC